GUUAAGAGGUGUCAGCCAGCCCAGAACAAGAAAUCUGGUUGGCUAAUGUGAAUUCUAUGCAAAUUUGUUGUCUGAUGCCAGCAUGCACAGCAUACUGGCAUCAGACAGCCAACAGCAGCACAUUACCCCAUCCCCUAGUGAAUAUUAUUAAUAUCCCCCACCCCACCCCCCAGUUUUGACUGUGGUAUCUUAUGUGCCUACCCUAUAUAUUGUUCCUAGAAUCGCCACUACUUCAGGGGCUGGGUUGUGCACUGCAGGGCUUUAACAGGGACGACCGGGCUUUGGUCAUAAUGUAAUGGCAGCGCACACUCAGUGCGGGGGGACAGGGGGUGCCAAAAAGAGGAUCCGCCCUGCGUGCCAAAUGCUCUAGGUACGCCCCUUCCUUAGGAAGGGAGCUGCCUGCAAGAAAUCCUGUAAAUGCAAAUUAGUACUGCAGGUCACCAGUAGAGCAGAGUCACCAGGAAAGGAUGUACCUAUGAAUUUUGUACAAAUCUGUGCCAGAUGUUCUUCUUAGUUAUCAGGAUCCCGAAAUAGGUACUGUCCCGCAAAUAUCAAGACAGUUGGCAGGCCUAUUACAUCUCUACCUGUGUGUCCAUUUUCCUUUUCCUGCCACUAUAGCUCUCCCCCCCUCCCCCUCCCCCCCCUCCUGUGAUGCAGACAGGCACUAGAGGUGGAGUUAACCCUAAAAGGUAAUUAUUGCAGUUUCUUAAAAACUGCAGUAAUUAUCAUUGCAGAGUUAAGGACCUGGGACAGUACAACCAGAUCAGUUCAAUGAGCUAAAGGGGUCUGGGUGCCUAUAGUGUCCCUUUAAAUUAGAGCUGUGUGCAUACGGAGCUCAUGAAGCAAGUAUCGCAGAAUCAAGGAGAAAGAAAGACUACUAGGUUAAGGUUGUGCUUCAGCAUUCUGCAAAGCUUUUAUGUUUUUCCAACAAAAACUAUACAAGUUUGAACGGGUUAAAAUACAGCAUAUAAAUGGAGCUGUCCAAGUGGCUGGCAAUGAAGAUACUUAUUUGGUGUGCUCAGGAGGGAUUUGACGUGUAGCCUGCAGGAUCUGAAUUGGUAUGUAGGAUGUGUGUAAGAGCUGGGAAUGUGAUAGUUAUCAUCAAGAACCAAUCCAGCUCACUCACAUUGCAUUUCACAUCCUGCCAACUUACCUUGCUGAUAGUAAGGAAAGGAGUAAUGAGAUGAAUCUGAAACAUUUGCAAACUGAACAAAAUUGUGUGAUUUGCUUUCAGAAGUACAUUUCGAAUUGUUAGAUACACACAAAGAUAAGGUAGGCUGUUACUUUUGCAUGUAUGUACUCAUUGAUUGCAUGCAGCAAAAUACAGAGAAUAUUUGUUUUCUAAACAUAAUAUAUGUUGUCUGUAUAUGUAUGUAUGUAUAUAUACCCAAUAGUCAUUCAGAAUCUACUUGGAUCUUUUGGACUUUGUUUUAUGGAUUCUUGAAUGAAUGCACUAACAUUGUAUCCAUAAUUUCUGAGUCUGUCUCUAUAAGCAGCAUGGGGAUGUCUAAACUUUGGAUUUUUUUCACAAUUUGUAAACUGAUCUACAGCCUAAGAUAAGUAUCUAAUCAAUGUUUGAUUUUAAC